rnacentral:misc_RNA from 1 species
AAAGUUGAGCUUUACCAAUGAAGUUGGUAUUUCUCCAGAUAAUUUGUUAUAGGACAAAUCCAAAGUUUCCAAGCUUGACAUUCCUGAUAAACUAUCUGGAAUUGGCCCUGAUAGGUCAUUCUUGUUUAGUUUCAAAAUAUGAAGCCUUUUCAAGUUCCCAAAACUUGGCCAGAUUGGUCCAGUGAGCUUGUUGCAACUUAGAUCCAAAGUUGGUGGAAG